rnacentral:rRNA from 1 species
GUGGGGAAUCUUCCGCAAUGGACGAAAGUCUGACGGAGCAACGCCGCGUGAGUGAUGAAGGUCUUCGGAUUGUAAAGCUCUGUUAAUCGGGACGAAAGAGCCUAGUGUGAAUAAUGCUAGGAAGUGACGGUACCGGAAUAGAAAGCCACGGCUAACUACGUGCCAGCAGCCGCGGUAAUACGUAGGUGGCAAGCGUUGUCCGGAAUUAUUGGGCGUAAAGCGCGCGCAGGCGGAUCUGCCAGUCUGUCUUAAAAGUUCGGGGCUUAACCCCGGGAUGGGAUGGAAACUACAGGUCUAGAGUAUCGGAGAGGAAAGUGGAAUUCCUAGUGUAGCGGUGAAAUGCGUAGAUAUUAGGAAGAACACCAGUGGCGAAGGCGACUUUCUGGACGAAAACUGACGCUGAGGCGCGAAAGCCAGGGGAGCGAACGGGAUUAGAUACCCCAGUAGUCC